rnacentral:snRNA from 1 species
AAGCUUAAAAGAGGGUAGCUAAG